GACGAACGCUGGCGGCGUGCCUAAUACAUGCAAGUCGAACGAGAGCGACCGGUGCUUGCACUGGUCAAUCUAGUGGCGAACGGGUGAGUAACACGUGGGUAACCUGCCCAUCAGAGGGGGAUAACAUUCGGAAACGGAUGCUAAAACCGCAUAGGUUCUACAGUCGCAUGACUGAAGAAGGAAAAGAGGCUUCGGCUUCUGCUGAUGGAUGGACCCGCGGUGCAUUAGCUAGUUGGUGAGGUAACGGCUCACCAAGGCCGUGAUGCAUAGCCGACCUGAGAGGGUGAUCGGCCACAUUGGGACUGAGACACGGCCCAAACUCCUACGGGAGGCAGCAGUAGGGAAUCUUCCGCAAUGGACGCAAGUCUGACGGAGCAACGCCGCGUGAGUGAAGAAGGAUUUCGGUUCGUAAAACUCUGUUGUUAGAGAAGAACAGCGCAUAGAGUAACUGUUAUGCGUGUGACGGUAUCUAACCAGAAAGCCACGGCUAACUACGUGCCAGCAGCCGCGGUAAUACGUAGGUGGCAAGCGUUGUCCGGAUUUAUUGGGCGUAAAGCGAGCGCAGGCGGUCAAUUAAGUCUGAUGUGAAAGCCCCCGGCUCAACCGGGGAGGGUCAUUGGAAACUGGUUGACUUGAGUGCAGAAGAGGAGAGUGGAAUUCCAUGUGUAGCGGUGAAAUGCGUAGAUAUAUGGAGGAACACCAGUGGCGAAGGCGACUCUCUGGUCUGUAACUGACGCUGAGGCUCGAAAGCGUGGGUAGCAAACAGG
rnacentral:rRNA from 1 species